rnacentral:lncRNA from 1 species
GCCGGGCUCGCCUGGAUGCCCUGACCCAGCUGCCUGGGGAGAGCCCUGGGCCCCUCCUCCCUCAGCCCCUCCUGCCUCGGUCCCUCCUCUCUCAGCCUGUCUGGCAUAGAUCCAUGUUCCCCAGCCCCUGGCACAGGUGCCUCUGGCUGGAGGAGGCCCCACCUGUGGCCCAGGAGCUGCUCUGGGGGUUGAUAAAGAAAGGGCAGCGUUAUUGGGCCCUGGGAAUGAGCGGGCGUGAGGCCAGCUGAGGCACGGUGACCCCUGGGAAGGAGCGGGCGUGAGGCCAGCUGAGGCACAGUGACCCCUGGGAAGGAGCGGGCGUGAGGCCAGCUGAGGCAUGGUGACCCCUGGGAAGGAGCGGGCGUGAGGCCAGCUGAGGCAUGGUGACCCCUGGGAAGGAGCGGGCGUGAGGCCAGCUGAGGCAUGGUGACCCCUGGGAAGGAGCGGGCGUGAGGCCACCUGAGGCAUGGUGACCCCUGGGUACGGGGGACUUGGGGGCCGCACCUCGGUUUGCCCAGGGCCCCUCCUGCACCACGGGCCACAUGCGGAGGACGGCGUGGGAUAGGCUCCCUGGGUCCACAGCUUCUGCCCGUGUAUGGGGAACCCUCCUUGGUCAGGGCUGCGGGCUCUGGGCAGAUGGGGCAGGAACCCUGAGGCUCCCGCGCCCUCCCAUGGCCUCUGACAUGGGACACUGGAGCGAGGCAUGAUUCUGAAGGACUCCAUGGAUCUGGGAGGAUGAGGCCCAUCUCCGGUUGGUGGCCAAAGCCGUCCUUGCGGGGCCGGCUGCUUCACGGACGCUCUCCGGGUCGGGCCGGUGGGCCCCAUCGUGGGUGGGAAGUCGCCUGAGCCUGGGCCUCCCUUGAGCUUCUCCCAGUCUUGACUUUCCGGAGGGUCCGUGGCUGUGGUCAUGGUCGGGGCAGGUGGAAAAUGCUGCAUGGAAACCUGAUCCUGUCACCUUGGAGUAAAUGAUGAUGUCGCCGGCUUCUCGCCACGUCUAAAGGAUAAAUGCAUUUGAAGAAAGUGGGUGUUGGGUUUGUUAUGGGUUAAAGUGCUUUUGAAAUAAGUAAAUUAUUAGUUUGAUUUUCAUUCUUGGCUACUUAUACUAUUCAUGAUAAUCACAGAGGUACUUGGACAAAGAAAUAUAUUUGGGCAAAAGCAAGAAUUUCCUUCUUUUUUUUUUUUGAGACGGAGUCUAACUCUGUCACCCAGGCUGGAGUGCAGUGGCGCAAUCUCGGCUCACUGCAAGCUCCACCUCCUGGGUUCACACCAUUCUCCUGCCUCAGCCUCCCGAGUAGCUGGGACUACAGGCGCCCACCACCAUGCCCGGCUAAUUUUUUUUGUAUUUUUAGUAGAGAUGGGAUUUCACCGUGUUAGCCAGAAUGAAGAAUUUCCUUCUGAAGUGGGAACAUAUGGCUCAUGCUGGUAAUCCCAGCACUUUGGGAGGCCAAGGUAGGAAGAUCACUUGAGCCCAGGAGUUGGAGACCCAUCUGUGCCACAUAGUGAGAUGCUGUCUGUACAAGAAACUUUUUAAAAAUGUAGCUGGGCGUGGCAGCGUGCUCCUGUGGUCCCAGCUACUUGGAGCUGAGGCAGGACGACUGCUUGAGCCCAGGAGGUCGAGGCUACAGUGAGCUGUGACGGCUCCACUGCACUCCAGCCUGGGAGACAGCAAGAUACUGUCUCAAAAAAAAAUUUAUCAUUGAAGCCUGGGCAUUUUUAAAAAAUAAAAAGGUGGGAAAACACGUGGGCACAGCAGUGAAUCCUCACACCCUGGGCUUUGCCCAAGAAGUGCUCGUGAACCUGAUGAAAGUGUCGGGUGUGGCCGACGUGAGGCUGUUCCAGGAGCCACGAGGGGUGAUUGGUUCCGCUAGAAGGUUCCAGGGAGGAACUGGAGUCUCAGGUGUGUCCUCUGAUAAGUGAUCUAUUUUUAAGUAAAAGUGUUUCAUUA